UAUUUGCUAUGUGCUAUGUGGAGUCGGUGUAUAGGUAUGGUGACGUUUACCUAUGCGCCCGAGUCAAGCAUUACCGUGAGUUAUAGUUGCUAUUAAAAUUGCGAAAGAAAUGAACAAUGGUGAUAAUUACUUGUUACAAGAACUAUGAAGUGAAAGUUGAGAAGUAAAUGAACUAAAGAGGAAUUUUUGGUACUUCUCCCUUGCCGGAAUUUAUUGUUGAGCUGUAUUCCCUUACCGGGAUUUAUUGUUGAAUUAUUCUCCCUUGCCGGGAUAUUUUGUUUUGAUAUAUAUUUCCUUUCCCGUUUGGUUGUGGCCAUUGAUUGGGUGAGGAAGAGAGAGUAAAAGCACGAAGGGUGAUGUCGUGCACUAUGUGUUUNNNNNNNNNNNNNNNNNUAUAUAUAUAUAUAUUUAUAUUUAUAUAUAUAUAUAUAUAUGUGUGUGUGUGUGUGUGUUUUUUUUCUUUUUCCCGUUUAGUUGUGACCAUUGAUUGUGAGAGGAAGAGAGAGUAAAAGCAUGAAGGGUGGUGUCGUGCCUUGUAUUUGAUAUUCUUGGUGAGAAAUGAGAGUAAAAGCACGAAAGGUGAUGCCGUGCAUUAUAUUUGACCAUUUUUGUGAGGAAUGAGAGUAAAAGCACGAAGGGUGAUGCCGUGCAAUUGUUGAUUCAUUGGCUUUCUUUAUUUAAUGAUUAUUAUCCAGUUCCAUCUCUUGUUUGUUGAAAUUGUAAUUGAAUUGCUACUCGCCCAUCAUGUAUCUUCCCUUUUUAUUUGUUUAAAUUCUUGUCCCCUUAUGCAAUUGCAUAUACAUUUGUACAGGUUGUUUGUGGUAGGUCCGGUUUAGCCUCGUCACUACAUCGCCGAGGUUAGGCCGGGUACUUACCAGCACAUGGGGUCGGUUGUGCUGAUAUUACACUUUUGUGCCUUUUUGUGCACAGGUCAGGAGACAGCCUACGGACCGCAGCAGUAGUUAGGGGGCGAUCCUUCAGUCCAAAGACUCUGAGGUAGUUCGUUGCCGUUCACGGGCCCUGAGUCUCGUCUAUCUCUUCUAGUUUAUUUUCAUUGUAUCAGACAGACAUGUGAUGUAUUUCUUUCAUACUAUUGUUUUUAGUACUCUUUUAGUCGUCUGUGAGUAGUGACACCAGAUACUGGGUAGAGGCAUGUUGCUAUUUUUUCGCAUUUUGUUAUCGCUAAUGUUGAUAAAAGUCUUCCGCGUGUUUUAACUAAUUAUUUCAGUAUUUAAUUUGUUUUAGAUUAAAGUUUGUGAAAAGGAUUAAAAAUGGUUGGCUUGCCUAGAUUCGACAGUAGACGCCAUCAUGACUCCCGAUGGUGGAAAAAAUCCGGGUCGUGACAGGUAAAAGUCAAACUUUGCACAGGGAAGCCAACCACUUAAUCCAACAGCUG
rnacentral:lncRNA from 1 species